UGGGGAAUUUUGGACAAUGGGGGCAACCCUGAUCCAGCAAUGCCGCGUGUGUGAAGAAGGCCUUCGGGUUGUAAAGCACUUUUGUCCGGGAAGAAAUCGCACCUGAUAAUACCGGGUGUGGAUGACGGUACCGGAAGAAUAAGGACCGGCUAACUACGUGCCAGCAGCCGCGGUAAUACGUAGGGUCCAAGCGUUAAUCGGAAUUACUGGGCGUAAAGCGUGCGCAGGCGGUUGUGCAAGACCGAUGUGAAAUCCCCGGGCUUAACCUGGGAAUUGCAUUGGUGACUGCACGGCUAGAGUGUGUCAGAGGAGGGUAGAAUUCCACGUGUAGCAGUGAAAUGCGUAGAGAUGUGGAGGAAUACCGAUGGCGAAGGCAGCCCCCUGGGAUAACACUGACGCUCAUGCACGAAAGCGUGGGGAGCAAACAGG
rnacentral:rRNA from 2 species